rnacentral:rRNA from 1 species
CUGAGUUUUUAAAUGGCCGCAGUAUACUAACUGUGCAAAGGUAGCAUAAUCAUUAGUCUUUUAAUUGAAGGCUGGUAUGAAUGGUUGGACGAGAUACUAACUGUUUCAUAAAAAUUUAUAAUAGAAUUUUAUUUUUUAGUCAAAAAGCUAAAAUAUAUUUAAAAGACGAGAAGACCCUAUAAAUCUUUAUAUUUAAAUUAUUAUAAUUUUGAAGAUUUAUUUUGUUGUAAUAAUUAAUAAUAUUUUAUUGGGGUGAUAUUAAAAUUUAAUAAACUUUUAAUUUUAAAAUUCAUUAAUUUAUGAAUAAUUGAUCCAUUAAUAGUGAUUAAAAGAAUAAGUUACUUUAGGGAUAACAGCGUAAA